rnacentral:lncRNA from 1 species
GUUCACGUGGCACAAGUACACAAGGAUACAGCUAUCGAUCAUGCCUCUAUUGAAGAUAUGGAGUGCGGAUCACACAAUAAAAAAGAUGAUCACCGCUGAAACAAUGGCUGAUGUUAUUGAGAAAGCAAAGGAAUACGGGAUCUGCAACUCAUGCAGUGCAAAGGUGUUUCUUGUUGAUUGGAUGGAACUUGAGGAAACAGUGUUCCAAGAAGUUGUUGCUCAGCUACCAAUGGACCAGAGGAUUUUCAUUGUUGCAGAAAUUGUGCCACCUGCAAGUCCUCCUGUGCAAGGUUCGUUAAAAGUGCUUUUACUUGUAGUUGACAUUAAAAAGUGGUAUGGCAAAAAACAGGACUAAGAGAUUCAUAUACUAGGGGUGUGCAAAUAUUCGAAAACUUGAAAUAACGAAUCGAAUAGCAUUCUAUUCAAUUCAGUA